rnacentral:tRNA from 1 species
GGGUAUAGCUCAGUGGUAGACGUGCAUGCCUAGCAUGCAUGAGGUCCUGGGUUCAAUCCCCAAUACUGCCA